rnacentral:lncRNA from 1 species
GGGAAGACAAAAAUUCUUCAAUGUAGACGUCCGUUCUGAGGGGCACCGACGUCUAAUUUCCUGUAUUUUCACCAAAUUCGAGGGUUUUAGAUGUCGGCUAGGAUGGGCACCGACGUGAACUACCCUGACAGGAAACCAAAACAUCAAUCUUUUCAGCUUUCCUAGACGUCGGUUUCUGGAGCAACCGACGUCCCAUUUCAUUUUAAAUAGACCGGACUCUUCUCAACAUUCAGUUUCUGAUCGCGUCUUCAUCUCUUCUCCUUUUUCUCUGCUUCUCCUCUUCUUUUACUCGCUUGCGCACCUCUACAUUUUAUCUCAUGCGGCAUUGCAUUGCCGUUUCUCAUAACGUCAUUGUCUUCGUUCUCUCCUUUUUCUCUCUUGCAUCCUAGGUGCGUGGUUUUUUUUUAUGCUUACCGUUUAAACUUUCUUUAUUUUUUUAUCGAUUAUCUUGUCGUUCAACUGAUUACAAUUUGCUUUCUUUGUGUUGUGUUUUAGUUAUGUUUUGAUCCUCUCUUUGGGUAACGUAGUGCAACAUUCUCCCUUUGCUGGUUUCCUCACAAGAAGAGUGGCGAUCUUUUGAGUUUUCUAGUUCUUCCGACCCAAAAUGGAACCUGGGUCCUUGUCUACUUCUCGACACCGUAAUUUUUU